rnacentral:tRNA from 1 species
AUGCUGCGGUAAAUAUCAAAUGCGCCCUUAGCUCAGUUGGAUAGAGCAACGGCCUUCUAAGCCGUAGGUCACAG